CCUGUUCUGGUCAGGAGGCUGUUGGUAUAGCACACAGGCACCUUUUCCAGACUCACUUUCCAUUGCUGCUAGCAGCUCCCACCCCCUUUGGGUCCUUUGUUGAGGCUUGUCCCUCUUUUUCCUGGCAAUAAGUGUGGGAAAGAAUGUCCUCACUGCUGGCCUUGUGAAUCAUGAUGGGGUCUUCUAUUCAUAAAAGUGACCCAGGGACAACCCAAAGAGGCAACCUGGGAAGGAAGUUGGGGAUAAGUGGCCAGGUCUGCAUGUCUUUCCUAGGUGCCUAGCGAGAGCCUCCAACAGAAGUUUGGGCGUUGUUAUAUGGCCCUGGAACACUCCCGGGACUAGCUCUGCUUGCUCACAUGGUCCUGCCACUCUGGCCUGCUCACAGAUGGCUGGGAAAUAGUAUGACCAGGAAGCCCGAUGUCCUUGCAAACCCAGAACUCAGUCUAGAGAUAGACAGGAAGGUGCUACGUUCGAAGCCAUCCUGGUCUGCACGCAAGACCCUGUCUCAGCAAACAAACCCAGCUUGUUCAAGAGUCAGUACAGGGGUUGGGGAUUUAGCUCAGCGGUAGAGCGCUUGCCUAGCAAGCGCAAGGCCCUAGAUUCGAUCCCCAGCUCCGGACAAAAAAAAAAAAAAAA
rnacentral:lncRNA from 1 species